AUUGAACGCUGGCGGCAGGCUUAACACAUGCAAGUCGAGCGGGGGAAGGUAGCUUGCUACUGGACCUAGCGGCGGACGGGUGAGUAAUGCUUAGGAAUCUGCCUAUUAGUGGGGGACAACAUCUCGAAAGGGAUGCUAAUACCGCAUACGUCCUACGGGAGAAAGCAGGGGAUCUUCGGACCUUGCGCUAAUAGAUGAGCCUAAGUCGGAUUAGCUAGUUGGUGGGGUAAAGGCCUACCAAGGCGACGAUCUGUAGCGGGUCUGAGAGGAUGAUCCGCCACACUGGGACUGAGAAACGGCCCAGACUACUACGGGAGGCAGCGGUGGGGAAUAUUGGACAAUGGGGGGAACCCUGAUCCAGCCAUGCCGCGUGUGUGAAGAAGGCCUUAUGGUUGUAAAGCACUUUAAGCGAGGAGGAGGCUACUUUAGUUAAUACCUAGAGAUAGUGGACGUUACUCGCAGAAUAAGCACCGGCUAACUCUGUGCCAGCCGCCGCCGUAA
rnacentral:rRNA from 1 species